AUGCUUUAUUGUAAUCAAUAUAUUUUUGUGUAUGUCACUGGUGUGUCCCCUGUUUUAUUGAAAUUAAACUCUCUCAACAAUCUCAGCUGCAUAUGUGAGACCUCUCAGCCAGAAUUUGGUGUCUUUCAGCACAGAGCACUCUUGGUGUUGGCAGCAUCACAAGCAGACUGCAGUUGCAGAGACAAGAAAAGGGAAAAAACCUGGUUUUGCAGAGGUUUGGAGGAUUAAAGGAAACAUUUAAGAAUAGAAAGUGAGGAUGCCCAAAGCAUGCAGAGUACCCUGCCUUCUGAGCCCUGCACCAGAGACCUCUUUUGGCAUCAGUUAUGAAGAUAAUUUCAUAAAGAAAAGU
rnacentral:lncRNA from 1 species